AAUAAUGAUAUCAUUUUGGUAAGAUUCUUCCAGACAGUAUGAUUAGGAUGUUACAUAAAUCAAACUGUGCUAUAUACAGUAUGCAGAGAAGGACAAUUCCUUAGCUUGUCUAAAGUCUGAUAGUGUGAAGAAUUUGCUGACCUGCUCUCCAUGCCUGUCUGAGCACGAGUGAAGUGAAUCAGAGAGUGAUUGCAAGAUGGAGAAAGGAGGUACAGUUGGAGAGAGUGGAGGGGGCAGGAAAGACCAGACAGAGCUGCAUCUCCCAUGAAAACAACUGUGUACAUAUGAUAGAGUGAGUACAUAGAGUACAUAGAAGAGUGAGCUCUGAAAGAACUCUCACAUGGACCCCCAGAAAGAGGAGUACUCAACGCCUGCUGCACAGAAGGCAUCAGCAGUUAAGUACUGGCUAGAAAAGCGGAGUCCAUCAAAGGAGAGGACCACAGUGGUAGCUGCCUGUUACAAGCUAUUGAGGCACUCCAGAGUGACGGCAUGUGAUCCCCCUGACACAAGAAACAGGCCCAGAUAACACACCGUUCAGACCGACAGCAGUUCUGGUU
rnacentral:lncRNA from 1 species